UCCCAAGAAUCAACUACGCAUUUUCGGCGGGUUUAAAAAAUUUAGUCAGGACCCAGGAACUUCCGUAGCGGUGUUUUUCCAGCAACCAAUUCGACCUUACAGACUCUAGCAUUCGCAAUGCGCCAGGCUAGUUGUGGUGGGUUAUAAAAAUAUCAGUGGCUCGCGGAACGAUGUUGGGACGUCCAGCCCUAUCCCCUUCCCUAGGGACUGGCUGGGUUCCUUAUUUUGCAAGCGUGUAUGGAGACGGGUGUUUCAAAACGGUAUUGUUUUAUAUAAUAUUGAUCGCAUUUGAUCCGCAGCUGGCCCCGAUCAGAGUUACAGAAAGGUGCCGCCUGUCCUAGCAUAAAUUCGUCCCAGCAUUUUACUCCAGCGCUAGACAGCCCAUUGUUCUCCUUCAUAGGCCAAUAAUACCAUUUGACACAGUUAUUCCUGGCGAAAGUAUCAUAUUCCUGGGCGCAAAAUUAAUCAGACAGAACAAGGUAGAUAUCGUAUAUGACAAAAACCACACACACACACGCACAAAGAAAAGAGAAGAGAGAAGAAAAGAGAAAAAUAAAGUUUUAUAUAGACACAUCACCAGAAUAAAAAUAUAUUCACGGAAAUUAAACGCGGAAUAAGAAGAAAAAUAAAUCCUUAAGAUCACAAAAUCAGCAUCCUCCGCCCUGUUCAGUGACCUCUGCCCACAGGAAAACGGAACAAUAAGAGCAGUUAAGGGGAAAAAAAGACAAUGCAGAAAGAAAAAAUUACGUACAAGAUCAUACUGGGUAAGAGAAGUUGAGUGCGAAACGUCCACGAAAGGGAAGCGCACGACUGGAAAAAUAAAUUUGGUUAAAUUGAAAUAAGGAGAUCAAAGAAAGGGGGAAGGUUCUUCGCUCUAGCCCGACUCAUUGUGAUAGGUCUUUGUUAUACUAAGUUCAUUUUUUUUUGUUGCCUCUUUUAAAAAAUUAAUCUCCCAUCACAUCAUCAUCAAUUUCAUCAGGGGCGGGGGUCGGCUCCAAAUCCUGAUCAGCUUCUCCCAUACCAAGCCUAUCCUCUUCAUCAUCGAUUAGCUCUCGUGCCACUAAGUCGCCUUCUUCAUCUUCCUCUACCCGUGCCAUCUCGUCUUCGUCACCAUCGUGAUCUUCAGCCGUCUCCGUUAAUUUCAUCUUCCCAUUAUUUUUCUUCAAUCGAGCCCCAGAAGGUCCAGAGCCGUUAAUUUCUAUAUGUUCGGGUUGCAGUCUCAUAUUGUCCGUAGCCGAAGCUACUCUCUUCCCACCAGCUUUUCCAACAUCAAGAAACGCCACAACUUCCUUAUAAUUCUGCCCGAGACGAUUCUUGUUCCGCAAUAGUUUCUGUUUUAACUUCCCACCCUGACGCCCUGAAACAUCAAGCACACCGCCAACGAUAGCAAGGACCAUCUUGCCCGUGAGUUGGCAUAAUUUCUGUUCAGCUAACAGCACAUUCCGAACUCUGUGGGCAGCUAAUAUGUCCCGUAUUUCCUCAUCAGCCUCGUCUUCAUCGUCAUCACCAUCUGAUGGACUGGUGCUGUAAUCCGACGACGAGUCCAUAGGCUCGUCAUCGUCUGCUACCUCAGCGACUUCCAGCUUCCGUCGAGACUUUUUAGCGAAUGUCCGUUCCGCUUUGUCGUGCAGACGGGAAAUGAGAGCUUGGGUUUCAGGGACGAUUUCUUGCGCUAGGCUUUGGAUUUGGAGAAUAACUUCAUCAUUCAGUGACGCAACGGUGAUCUUUUUGCCCUG
rnacentral:sRNA from 1 species